GGGGUUACAGCCUUGCUGAAUUAUUCACCCUUGUCUUUUGCGUACUUCUUGUUUCCUUGGUGGGUUCGCCCACCACUAGGACAAACAUAAACCUUUUGUAAUUGCAAUCAGCGUCAGUAACAAAUUAAUAAUUACAACUUUCAACAACGGAUCUCUUGGUUCUGGCAUCGAUGAAGAACGCAGCGAAAUGCGAUAAGUAGUGUGAAUUGCAGAAUUCAGUGAAUCAUCGAAUCUUUGAACGCACAUUGCGCCCUUUGGUAUUCCAAAGGGCAUGCCUGUUCGAGCGUCAUUUGUACCCUCAAGCUUUGCUUGGUGUUGGGCGUCUUGUCUCUAGCUUUGCUGGAGACUCGCCUUAAAGUAAUUGGCAGCCGGCCUACUGGUUUCGGAGCGCAGCACAAGUCGCACUCUCUAUCAACAAAGGUCUAGCAUCCAUUAAGCCGUUUUUUCAACUUUUGACCUCGGAUCAGGUAGGGAUACCCGCUGAAGUUAACCAUAUCAGUAAACGGA
rnacentral:rRNA from 1 species